rnacentral:rRNA from 1 species
AGUCAAGUAAUUAAGUGCAUGUGGUGGAUGCCUUGGCAGUCAGAGGCGAUGAAAGACGUGAUAGCCUGCGAAAAGCUCCGGGGAGGCGGCAAAUAUCCUUUGAUCCGGAGAUGUCUGAAUGGGGGAACCCACCUACUUUAAGGUAGGUAUUGCAACAUGAAUACAUAGUGUUGCAAGGCGAACGAGGGGAAGUGAAACAUCUCAGUACCCUUAGGAAAAGAAAUCAAUUGAGAUUCCCUCAGUAGCGGCGAGCGAACGGGGAUCAGCCCAUUAAGUUAUGUGUGUUUUAGUGGAACGCUCUGGGAAGUGCGAACGUAGAGGGUGAUAUUCCCGUACACGAAAGGGCACACAUAAUGAUGACGAGUAGGGCGAGGCACGUGAAACCUUGUCUGAAUAUGGGGGGACCAUCCUCCAAGGCUAAAUACUCCUGACUGACCGAUAGUGAACCAGUACCGUGAGGGAAAGGCGAAAAGAACCCCUGUGAGGGGAGUGAAAUAGAUCCUGAAACCGCAUGCAUACAAGCAGUGGGAGCACCUUCGUGGUGUGACUGCGUACCUUUUGUAUAAUGGGUCAGCGACUUAUAUUCAGUAGCGAGGUUAACCGUAUAGGGGAGCCGUAGAGAAAUCGAGUCUUAAUAGGGCGUUUAGUU